rnacentral:rRNA from 1 species
UACAGAGGUCCCAAGCGUUGUUCGGAUUCACUGGGCGUAAAGGGUGCGUAGGUGGUCGGGUAAGUUUGAUGUGAAAGCUCCGAGCUUAACUCGGAAAUUGCAUUGAAUACUAUUCGGCUAGAGGGUUGGAGGGGGGACUGGAAUUCUCGGUGUAGCAGUGAAAUGCGUAGAUAUCGAGAGGAACACCAGUGGCGAAGGCGAGUCCCUGGACAACUCCUGACACUGAGGCACGAAAGCUAGGGGAGCGAACGGG